UGCGGCUGGAUCCCCUCCUUUCUAAGGAGUCAUCGGGGGGGAAACCUCCCGGUCAUUCCCAGUCAACGCCCGCGCUGGUCGCGGGCCACCAUCCUAUUUAGUUGUGAGGGACCCGUCGGGUUCUUUGCAUCCUUUCGAGCGGGCUUGUUGGGCCUAUAGCUCAGUUGGUUAGAGCGCACGCCUGAUAAGCGUGAGGUCGGUAGUUCAAGUCUACCUAGGCCCACUACGCGGUAAGGGGGUGUAGCUCAGUUGGGAGAGCGCCUGCUUUGCAAGCAGGAGGUCAUCGGUUCGAUCCCGAUCACCUCCACCAGGCGACAGGGGCGAGCCCUCCUCUUCGGAUGAGGAGGUCUCUCCCGUGGCGUCUGACGCGCCUUGAAGGGUCUUUGACAAUCGGGCAUUUCCAAGUGCUUGGGCAAAUUUCCGUGAGGUCGCUUUGGGCCGUACAUCUCAAGGAGGGAUGGACGGUCAAGUGAACAAGGGCGUACGGUGGAUGCCUUGGCA
rnacentral:tRNA from 1 species